rnacentral:rRNA from 1 species
GACGAACGCUGGCGGCGUGCUUAACACAUGCAAGUCGAACGGAAAGGCCCUGCUUUUGUGGGGUGCUCGAGUGGCGAACGGGUGAGUAACACGUGAGUAACCUGCCCCUGACUUUGGGAUAACUUCAGGCAACUGGGGCUAAUACCGGUUAGGAGCUCCUGCUGCAUGGUGGGGGUUGGAAAGUUUCGGCGGUUGGGGAUGGACUCGCGGCUUUUCAGCUUGUUGGUGGGGUAGUGGCUUACCAAGGCUUUGACGGGUAGCCGGCCUGAGAGGGUGACCGGCCACAUUGGGACUGAGAUACGGCCCAGACUCCUACGGGAGGCAGCAGUGGGGAAUAUUGCACAAUGGGCGGAAGCCUGAUGCAGCAACGCCGCGUGCGGGAUGACGGCCUUCGGGUUGUAAACCGCUUUCGCCUGUGACGAAGCGUGAGUGACGGUAAUGGGUAAAGAAGCACCGGCUAACUACGUG